ACCUGGCUGGCUCAGUUGGAAGAGCAUGUGACUCUUGAUCUCAGGGUUGUGAGUUCAAGCCCCACACUGGGUA
rnacentral:tRNA from 1 species